rnacentral:rRNA from 1 species
GAUAAACGCUGGCGGCGUGCAUGAGACAUGCAAGUCGAACGAACGAGCUUGCUCGUUAGUGGCGGACGGCUGAGUAACGCGUAGGUGACCUGCCCCGAAGUGGGGGAUAACUGCCCGAAAGGGUGGCUAAUACCGCAUGUGGCGACGCUUUCAUUGGCGUCAUCAAAGCCGCGAGGCGCUUCGGGAGGGGCCUGCGUCCGAUUAGCUCGUUGGUGGGGUAAUGGCUCACCAAGGCGACGAUCGGUAGGUGGUCUGAGAGGACGAUCACCCAGACUGGGACUGAGACACGGCCCAGACUCCUACGGGAGGCAGCAGUCGGGAAUUUUGCUCAAUGGGCGCAAGCCUGAAGCAGCAACGCCGCGUGCGGGAUGAAGGCCUUCGGGUUGUAAACCGCUUUUGUCAGGGACGAUGAUGACGGUACCUGACGAAUAAGUCACGGCUAACUACGUGCCAGCCGCCGCAGUAAGAC